UCUUGUUGACACAAAUUCUCAACAACGCAUGAGAUCCUGAUCUGUGUCACAAGGAGACACUCCUUCACAUGAGAUGCUCUUCCACGGAUCUUCCCCAGGUACCAGCGACUCCAGUGGAAUUUUCAAGAGUCCCCAGGGAAAGAAAUACAAAUCUCAGUGCCUUCUCCUUCUUGGCCAGGAGUCAUCAAGGCCGUGAGAUGCUCUGUCUUCUCUGAUGAGACUGCUCUCUCUCUCGCAGAUGGGAAGUGUCGAAGGAGUUCCAGGAAACGCAUUUCAGAAAUUGAGAGAAGGGUGUGUACGUGUGUCACAGGAACCCACAUCACAGGAGGAGGUGAAAACGCUGGAACUCUCUCAGAGAUGGUUCUGCGACUUCGUGCUUCCACUAGCUUGUUCGGCAGCAUGUGCCAAGAAGCCACAGGGGGACAACUGGAUGGUCCUUGUUAAGGACACGACCUGUUCUGUUGUGUUUCUAGUCACUUUUGUUACUUUCCUCUGUGAAAUGGCACAGGGGGCUCACUGAUUAUAAAUCUGCACCAUUGUUUAGUAUCUACCCCGCAGUCUUUGUUUUGUUUUGUUUAAUUUGGAAAUCCUGGGGAACUCUGAGUCUGCAAGGGAAAUCUUAAAAACAGGAAACUAUAUAAAUAAUUCUGUGGCUGCGGUCUCUCAAACCAUGAGCUGUAAUUGGAGAGACAGUUUUGCUAAUGCUUUGAUCCAUCAGUGUUUCAAGAGUACGAACAACAUUUCCUGCUUUUCUUUCUAAAAAGAAAAUCAGACUUUCUGUGUAAUCCCAGGACACACACACAACUAUCCCGACACCUAUGUGGGCUCAGCAAAUGCAGACUCAUGUUCAUGGCUUCAAGGCCUGAAACACCUCAUCACGAGAGCCUGACUUCAAAAAUAGGCAUUCUUUUCCAUGAGUUAGGGGAAAAUUAUUUUCCCAAUUUGAUGGACCAGUGUUUGAACCAUUAAAUGUGAACACAAUCAGUUUGUGAUUUCAGUCAAAAUGUUUUUUGCUCCAAAUAAAUGCUCAAACUGAAAUUGGUAGUAUUGAGUCUAAUGGAAAGCAAGUGUAUGUGCACAGUUUGCAGACCAGAGAAGAAGAUGUCUCCAUAUUUUAAAGUCCAUGUAAAUAAAAAAACUAUAUAUGUUAA